AUUGAACGCUAGCGGGAUGCCUUACACAUGCAAGUCGAACGGAGGGGCGAACGGGUGAGUAAUGGAUCGGAACGUGCCCAGUAGCGGGGGAUGACUACGCGAAAGCGUAGCUAAUACCGCAUACUAUUGGAGCGGCCGGUAUCGGUGUAGCUAGUUGGUGGGGUAACGGCUCACCAAGGCUACGAUCCGUAGCUGGUUUGAGAGGACGAUCAGCCACACGGGGACUGAGACACGGCCCAGACUCCGACGGGAGGCAGCAGUGGGGAAUGUUGGACAAUGGGGGAAACCCUGAUCCAGCCAUCCCGCGUGUGCGAUGAAGGCCGUCGGGUUGUAAAGCACUUUUGGCAGGAAAGCGGUACCUGCAGAAUAAGCACCGGCUAACUACGUGCCAGCAGCCGCGGUAAUAC
rnacentral:rRNA from 1 species